rnacentral:tRNA from 1 species
UCCUGGUGGCUCAGAUGGUAAAGAAUCUGCCUGCAGUGCAGGAGACCCAGGUUUGAUCCCUGGGUCAGGAA